UACGGGGGGGGCAAGCGUUGUUCGGAAUUACUGGGCGUAAAGGGCUCGUAGGUGGCCAACUAAGUCAGACGUGAAAUCCCUCGGCUUAACCGGGGAACUGCGUCUGAUACUGGAUGGCUUGAGUGUGGGAGAGGGAUGCGGAAUUCCAGGUGUAGCGGUGAAAUGCGUAGAUAUCUGGAGGAACACCGGUGGCGAAGGCGGCAUCCUGGACCGGUAUUGACGCUGAGGCGCGAAAGCUAGGGGAGCAAACGGG
rnacentral:rRNA from 1 species